UCCCCAGGUGACCACACGGGCGCUGGACAGAGCAGCUUCGGAGAGACAGCCCUGCGGUCAGCACGUCCUGGUGUCUGUGUGUUUGAAGGGGAGACCGAGGGCUGGCCCAGCCCACAAACCUACGAAUCUAGCAUCUUCUAGGUGGAGACGUGGCCCCCGGAGACGGUGCUGUGUUCUCAGACCGUCAGCUGGGGUCGGGCAGCGGGUUGGGGGCCACGCCCUGAGAACAGUCGUGGAGGACAGGAGCCCCUCCUGCAGACGUGGCCCUCGGACAUUGCGGGCGGGAACAGGCUGGCAGAGGCCCAGCGCCGUCUGAACAGGAGCCCGGCCCCAUCACCACCUGGCCUGAGCGUGGAGCCUGGGCCCAAGGAAACAGGCCGGGGCUGAGCACAGACCCCGGAUGCUGGCAGUGGUGUGCAGCCCUAAAGACCUGGGGACUUGUGGACAGAAGCACCGGUGGGUGGGCUGGUGGCUGACUCGAGGGGCAUCUCCGGAGAAGCGGGGAGGUACUGAAAGGCGGAAACUUCCAGGAGGCCCUGCGGCCCGUGGGAGGCCGGAUGGAGCCGGGCUGGGGGCAGAGAUCAUGCAGGCAUCUGAGAUGGCCCUGUGGAAGGCCACACGUCGGGAAGGCCCUGGUGUCUGGGGAGUGAGCGCUGGCAGGGCCGCGGGUGGGAGACCGUGCUCGGACGGGCAGGCAGGUGCGGAGCGCCAGUCAGAGAUGAAGGAGGGACAAAAUCCGCCUGUCCCAGCUCAGCACAGAGAGAGCUCUGCUGCGAAGCAAGAAAACAGCCCCUCUUGCUAUUUUUUAUAAAAAAAAAUAAGCCAGAAGAUGUGACAGGUGGCAGAGCCAUCGUGCGUGAGAUAAUUAUGUCUCUGGGGCACUGAGAACCAGAGCCAGCAGCCUUUACUGCUCCGAGCCAGCUGAUAACCUUUCCCACCCAAAGACGCUGCGAGGGCUGCAGGGUUCAGUCACGUUACACGGCACGUGGGCGGAGGCCGGGGCCACGGGUGGCGUCUUACUUAGGGCCACAGUUUAAAGGAAAAGCAAAUGUCUUCCAGCUGCGCCUGGAUGGUGGGGAGCCGGGGGGCUCCCUCCUCUAGCCCAGCCAGGCUUGCUGGACGGCUGACCCCUCGCUGAGGGACGUGAGCUAGCAUGGGCGGUCAUCAGCCCGGCAGCUCUGCCACAGGGCCUGGCCCGGCCCCACCUUCUCUCGGAGAUUUCCGGAGGCCUCUCGGGGCCCUUCAGUGCAGCCCACACGCCCUCCCUAUGUCUCCCUCUCAGUCCGGUGGGUCGUCAGCAAAGGCGGGUUCUUAAGAAGUCCCACGUGGGGCACCGAGGUCUGAGCGUCCGCGUCUCCCAGGCAGUGACUCUGGGACGCGGUGCGGGAGGACCAGGGCUCCUGUUGGGGAUGACGUCCUGGGUAAGCGUGGUCACUGGCUGUGGCUCCUUCCUGGGUGUUCUGGAAUGUUCUGAGGAGGAGGAAAUGGAGUGGGACUUUCUCUCCCCCGUGGUUGCGUGUCCUGACGUGCGAGCCUGGACGCCACGCUGAAGCCUGGUUGCUGUUGCCGCUCUCAGGUUGUGAGCAUCGUUCCAGGCUCGCUGGGUCCAAAGCACUCACCCCUCCAAGCUCUGUGUUACUGGAGCACCCCAGGUAAGAAGGGGGGUCCUCGGGGGCACGUGUCUGGAGACAAAGGGAAGCCCAGGUAUGGGAGAGCGGAGGGCCUCACACUCCCCGUGUAGGGGGGUCAGUGCACUUCGUGGGACCAGGGGCACCCGGUCUCCGCAGCCUUCGUGUCCUGGGAGGUGACCACCAGCUCGGGGUUUGGAGAGCUGCUCACGCCGCCGGUGGGCAGGGGAGCCGGGAGCCUGCGGGCGCCGUGUCCGCUGCCCCAGCCCUGCGUUCCAGCCGGGUGGUGGGUGCCGCCCCCUGGAUCCCAGCGAGUCCACAACACCGGGGGGCCCGGCUGCUCCAGACCCUGCUGGGGACCAGCCUGCUCAGAAGGCGUGCGGGCUCCCCUCAGUUACUGCUCCACAAGGUAGGAUUUCCUCCCCACGUUUCCCGUGGAUUCUUGAAGAGCAGCAGGUACCGAAAGUGGGUACCUCGCAUGUAAGGCCGCGAGCGCAGCCCUGCUGGGUGGGCCUGACCCUUGUCCAGACCAGCUGCCUCUUUCCCUCAGGCCUCCACAACCAACCUCCCAGGAAACCGCGGUUGUCUUUGCUGAUGUGAAGGUUUAAAACGGGAGACACUGGAACUCCCUCUGCUUCACUCAGUUGCUCAGUUUGCAUUUGUCAUUAUUGGACAAAUAUUUGAACUUCUUGGGAGCUGCUUGUAUGCUUAGCCUUUCCGCUUCUUGGAGUCGUGAGCCCGUAGGUUUGCUCCCUGCCGUGUGACACAGCGAUUCCCCGAAUCCUCCCGACUCGCCCUAACGUCCGUCAGAUGGUACUGCAGGCACCGUCUAGGCUGACGCACGUCUGAGGCGACGUCCUUGACUCCAUGCACGGCUGGUGUGGACCCCCGUCACAGUCCACCUCUUGGGGACCCACUAGCUUGAACCUCCCGUGCUAUCCGGGGACCCCUAGCUCACUUCUGUGAUGAGAUGCACGUCCAUCGGUAUCAUCGACCCUCUGCAUCGGAGCCCGUUUCUGACUCUACCUUCUCUAUAGAACUGUGCGCUUUGAGACUAAAGGGACCUCGCACACACCAGCUGGAUUGGGGUCUGCCAUUUACAAGGUGCAGCCUGCCUCACUCACGGGGCCUCUCCUGCAGAAGCCGCAGGCACAGAAGAGGUGCAGGGGGUCCCCGCAGGCGGUCCCCAGGCCCCUCUAGGAGCCAACGGGCAGCCGCCCUGCACGUCCCAGGGGGCGAGCCUGAGGUUGCCGCCCAGGCCCAGCUCUGGGACUCCUGGUGCGCGGCUCUCUUCCCUCCUUCGGUCCAUCCCAGAGUACUUCUGUGGAAGUCCGUGUGUCCCUCUCUGACGCCAGCUGCGCCCUAGUCUCAGGCAAUGUUGUCCCGUAAGUGCCAGUCUCCUUCAUGGGCUUCUUGUCUUGAAGAUGGUCCUGCCUCCGCUCUGAGGAAGGCCGAGGCCCAGCAGCUCCGGGGUCACUGCCUGUCCCCGUCCACGGCCUCACGUCUGGAGGGAGGGUCCCCUGCGGCCCGCUCCCGCCCCGCCUGCCCCGAGGCUGCAGCUCCUGCAAUUAGGACACACAGAGAAUGCAUCCCUUUUCCAUCUCCGCACGUGACCCUGGCCUGAGCCGCGUCGCAUCACCCCCAGAGCGGCUACGGCAGCCGCUGCGCUCGAGCGCCCGCCGCUCGGGGCUUCUCGCUCCCGCACAGACUCUUCCUAAUGUCCGAGGGUCCUCAAGGAUGGAAAGCUCACCAAACCAACCAGCUAUGUUCCACGAUGUCUCACGGUCUGUGACAAAGACCAAGGCCAUCAAGGGUCUACGCGGCUCUGCUCCGUCCCCAGCCCCGCCCCUUCCCACCCAGGCCUGCCCUGGAUGCUCUGCCUUCUCUCCCUCAUCCCCCCAGCACCUCGGAACCCGCUGUUGCCUCUGAUUGGAAGAUCCUUCCUUCCUCCGCCCCCUCCAGUUCUCAGCUCAAACUUUCCUCCUUCAAAGAAGCUUUCCCUAAGCUGCCAGUCUAAGGCGUCUCUGCAUCACUAACCCUGCAUUACAGUCACGCUGCCUUCUGAACGCUUUCCCCAACUUACAGUGACGGCUCCGUGUCACUUUCACACCAGACUGUGAGCUCCAGGGAGGUGGUGUCACCUCGGCCCAGCACCGAGCGGGCCCGCUGCCUGAUGAGGGUGUGAACGGAGAGCCCGGGCUUGCUGUUCCUCUCCUGGUGGCCUCCGGGCUUGUUCUUGUCUGUUCUCCUGGCACCUUUUCAUCUGUACCUUCUUCUUUUCCUUCUGCGCGUCGGUUUCCCAGCCUUCAGCCCUGGCCUCUGGCCCCGUGGACAACCCCGGUGCCGCACGACCGCACCCACCGCUUCUACGCUGGGGUCUCCAGCACGUGGUCCAGAGCGGAGCCCCGGCCUCCACACCCUGCAGCCCCGCGGGUGACUUCAGUCUGUAUCGCUUCUGUCUUCAGACUUGAAGGACAGUUCCUUCCCCUCACCACCUCCCCUGCCCGGCCGCCCCCUCCCCAGCAAAACAUCGCUUUGCGGGCCCUGUCUGUCUGCCGUGCCCCCUCGGAAGCAUCUUCAGCCAGGCCUCAUCCCGCUGCAUGGGCUGUUCGCGCUCCGCUUCAGAAACGCUAGCCUCUCCCUGGUUGUCACAGCCUGAGCCCCAGCCCCCGCCCGUCCACGCUGCUUCCCCACCAGGAAUGCUGGCAGUCUUCCAUCGUUGUCUGGGGCGGGGCGGGGAAAGACUGUAGUUUGUUAAGGACAUACUGCCAUCCCGGCACUGUGACGAGGCACUUUAUCCGCACAGAGUAGGUGCGUAAAUUCGGAUAUUCGUGGGGAGGGCGGCCCAUUUCCACAGAGCCAUGGACGCCUGCAGAGCACGUCCUCCAGAUGCCUCCUCCCUCUGUGGGAACGUCCUCCAGAUGCCUCCUCCCUCUGUGGGAACGUCCUCCAGAUGCCUCCUCCCUCUGUGGGAACGUCCUCCAGAUGCCUCCUCCCUCUGUGGGAAUGUCCUCCAGAUGCCUCCUCCCUCUGUGGGAACAUGCCUCCUUCCAACAGGGCCUCGAGCUCCCAAACACUCUCCAGUGACUGAGCGCCAGCGCCACGGCCUCUCCGGGUCUGUCACGUGGGCCCAGAGCCAGAGGGCGGGGUCCUCGUCACCUUCCCUCCGACCCUUUGGGGACCUGCCAUCCACCUUUGCUAGCGUGGCCGCCCGGGGCCAACGUCCAGAAUCCCAAGUGUUUGUUUGUAUGGUUCCAACAGGAGGUAAGAGGGAAGGGCUCAGCCCGCUGCUUCAGAACGUAAUUAGCACUGUAUUUUAGCAACAUUUUGACAACGAUUGCUUCCCAACGAUGCUGGGAAUCAGCAGUGCAGACUCCCCGGUGCCGCUGUCAGGGUGAGGGAUGGUGAGGCCCAUGUGACCUGGAGACAGUCUGUUCCGGCCCUCCCGCCCCUCGCUCGGAGGCUGGCCCGGCCCAGGUUAGAUGUACCCAAACCUUCUGAAAAGGCCCAGAUACGGAGGCGUCUUGGCGGGGAGAGGUGAGCUAGGAGCCGCUCCACUGACGGAGCGACUCAGACGCCCAGCCACCUCGGGGCUGGUCCUCCUCCGAGCCCUCUGUGCGCCGGCGCUUUCGGUUUCUGGGGUGAGUCUUACAUCUCCCAGGCACCAGGACAAGCAGCUCCCACUUCCCACUGUGGAGUGUGGAAGCUGCAGGAGGCCUGACGCUCAAGGUCAGCCUGACCCCUAAAGGAACAUGGCUUCCAUCUGUGGACUCUGGGAAUGAAACCAGCAGUUUGCUCAUUUUUAGCAGUUAAACCAUUUUCCCUUCACUUCUUGGUGGGGGGACAUCUCCCAGGGACCGCUGGUGUCCGUUUUCAAGAUGGAGCUAAGACGGAUGGGUGAUGGUGGUAACCCACGUGGGCCGUCCCUCCGCACACCUGGCCCAGUCCUGGGCCCCAGUCAGCUCGGGAAGCCGGGGGCUGGGGCUUGUGUUGGGGAGGGUCGCUGGGCUGGCACAGGUGCACUUUUAUUAGCUGAGUCUGCACUUCAGACACCUGUGCUCCCUUCACUGGGUGGGUAACUCAGAGCUGCAGGUAAGACCCACGUCUCCCGGUGUAUUUUCUUGCCUGUCUGCUUUUCUUCCAGGUCACAUUUAUCAGAAAUGAAGGGGUGCUUAGCAGGACCCAGGGAACCCAACAAAGCUGCUCUGCUCUCUCCCUCGAUGUCGCCUCCGGCCACGUUUUCCGUGUUGACAGACUCCGUCUCACUGGUGGGCAUGCUCACUGCAGGGCCGGGUCGAAGGGAUGCAGAGUGAGGCGCGGAGGCAAGAGGGGAGAGAACGGGCUUCAUCCCCACACUUGGGGCCCAGCCUGUCUGUGGAAAGGGCUGCUCUAGGGGCUGAGCCACUUGAUGGAUCUGGAGGAGGGUCUGUCCCUCGUCCUGAGUCCUGCAUGCUGGGUCCUGAGGACAGAGCCUGAAAUAGAGCUCAAAGGGGACAGCCAUUUCCAGCAUCCCACUGCAGACACAGGAAUGAGGAGUCUCCGUGUGGGACCCACCAAACCACUGAGAUGAGAUGUGGCCUGAAGACAGACGGCAAGAAAACCACCUCCCCACGGCAUCCUGAUGUUUCCAUGUCAACAGGCCAAGCUGGGACCCAACCCGUCCAAGUCCACCAUGGCCGACCUGCCCAUCCCGUCACCAGGCUCCUGCAUUUCCAGGGCAGCCAGAGCUUUCUAGCUUGGAGCCCAGUUUGGUGGCUUAGAAGAAGCCAUUUCCUUUAUUAUUAUCUUU